UUUACCACCAACCUCCAUAAAUCAGUUGGUGUAAAAUCGUCGCCUGAAACCACAUCAUAUGCGUCAUGAUGUCCCCGCCUAUUUGAUAGUCCAUCCGUCAAUCGGGCUGACGUCUGGGAUCGAGUAUUAACCUAGAACGCCAUGGGAGUAUAAUACAGGAAAACAGUGUGGAUGUCAAACAUCGGAAACAUUUAAUCUUUUAUGUUAAAAAUAUUUAAUUUCUCUAUUGUUAUAUAUUAUUUUGGAGUAACUGGGCUCCAUUACGUGUCAUCUCCAUCUAUUUGCAGGUAUGAAGAUACGGUUUUUCACUUGUGUCCUUUGUAUCACAACUUGGUUUCCAUAUAUUCUGGCCUUUAGUAGUGGAGCUCCGAAGUAUGUAUGUAAGUUCAUGCAACCUGGGCAUGGCGACCGAUCUUUGGAUCCUUCUCCAUUUAAAGUCAACGUAUAUGCCGAUUCUAUCUCUCCGGGUAACCAAGUGGAGGUAAAUAUAUCGUCUACAGACACUAAUGUAUUAAUAAUGGGAGUACUGGUCCAAGCUAUGAGUAUUCAACAAAAUAAAUAUGUAGGCUCAUUUGUAGCAAUGCCAAAAACUAAAAUAAAUUGUGAUGAAAAUACAGGAAUCACCCAUCGACAGAGAUUACUGGUUCCUAAUUUAAACCUAGUUUGGAAUGCACCACAGAAUUUAAGUCAAGGUGAUUCCAUCAUAUUUAAUGUAACCAUAGUUCAAAAUAUAGAAAUAUACUGGCAAGGUGUUGAAUCUACACCUGUAUUAGUUGACCUUUCAGCCCCUGCAGUAACUAUUCCAGACAGUAAUACACAGGCAGCAUCUGCAUGGCAACCGGUACAUCGUUGGAAUCCCACAAAUUGGUGGCAGUUUUUUACGGGGCGUUCUUUUGGUGGUUAAUGGAACAUUUAUAUAAAACAUACUAAAAACUAUUUGGCCUAUUUAUCUUUAUCUGGUUUUUUUUAUUAUUUCAUUUAAUACAUUAUUUUUAAGAGGCUAAAUAAAUAUUUAUAUGUUAUGUUCAACCAAUUGUUUUCAUAAAAUUAACCCAUAGAAAGGUUUUUAACCCUUUGCCGUUGUGAAUAAAAAUAUAUAUUUUUUUUCA